rnacentral:rRNA from 1 species
GGCGGUCUUUGGCCGUCCGAGUUGUAAUCUAGAGAAGUGUUACCCGUGCUGGACCGUGUAUAAGUCUCCUGGAAUGGAGCGUCAUAGAGGGUGAGAAUCCCGUCUUUGACACGGACUACCAGUGCUUUUGUGGUGCGCUCUCAAAGAGUCGAGUUGUUUGGGAAUGCAGCUCAAAAUGGGUGGUAAAUUCCAUCUAAAGCUAAAUAUUGGCGAGAGACCGAUAGCGAACAAGUACCGUGAGGGAAAGAUGAAAAGAACUUUGGAAAGAGAGUUAAACAGUACGUGAAAUUGCUGAAAGGGAAACGCUUGAAGUCAGUCGCGUUGGCUGGAAAUCAACCUUGCUUUUGCUGGGUGUACUUUCUAGUUGACGGGCCAGCAUCAGUUUUGACCGGUGGAAAAAGUCCAAGGGAAUGUGGCAUCUUCGGAUGUGUUAUAGCCCUUGGUCGUAUACACUGAUUGGGACUGAGGAAUUCAGCACGCCGAAAGGCCGGGUCUUUGACCACGUUCGUGCUUAGGAUGCUGGCAUAAUGGCUUUAAUCGACCCG